GACGAACGCUGGCGGCGUGCUUAACACAUGCAAGUCGAACGGAAAGGCCCUGCUUUUGUGGGGUGCUCGAGUAGCGAACGGGUGAGUAACACGUGAGUAACCUGCCCUUGACUUUGGGAUAACUUCAGGAAACUGGGUCUAAUACCGGAUAGGAGCUCCUGCUGCAUGGUGGUGGUUGGAAAGUUUCGGCGGUUGGGGAUGGACUCGCGGCUUAUCAGCUUUUUUGUGGGGUAGUGGCUUACCAAGGCUUUGACGGGUAGGAGGCAUGUGAGGGUGACCGGCGAAAAUGGGACUGAGAUACGGACCAGAAUGCAAAGGGAGGAAGAAGUGGGGAAUAUUGCAGAAUGGGAGGAAGCCUGAUGAAGAAAAGGCGCGGGCGGGAUGAAGGCCUUCGGGUUGUAAAAAGAAUUAGAAUGUGAAGAAGAGUGAGUGACGGUAAUGGGUAAAGAAGCACCGGCUAACUACGUG
rnacentral:rRNA from 1 species